GGUUUCCGUAGUGACCUGCGGAGGAUCAUUA
rnacentral:rRNA from 1 species